rnacentral:rRNA from 1 species
CGAAUUGUAGUUUAUAGAAGUGUUUUCUGGGAUAGCCCGGGUGUAGGUCCUUUGGAACGAGGCAUCAUAGAGGGUGAGAAUCCCGUGCCGCCUGGCGUCUAUUCCUUUGUGAUACACUUUCUACGAGUCGGGUUGUUUGGGAUUGCAGCCCAAAAUGGGUGGUAAAUACCAUCUAAAGCUAAAUAUUGGCGAGAGACCGAUAGCGAACAAGUACCGUGAGGGAAAGAUGAAAAGAACUUUGAAAAGAGAGUUAAACAGUACGUGAAAUUGCCAAAAGGGAAGCGCUUGGAACCAGUGUUGCAAUCCGUAAUCAGCCGGUCCUAGACCGGUGCACUUGCGGUGAGCAGGUCAGCAUCAGUUUAGUCUGGGCUAAAAAGCUUGCGACGUCCCUUCGGGGUCUGCGUUUGUUAUGGCCUGGACUAGACUGAGGUCCGCUUUCACAGGAUGCUGACAAAAUGGUUUCAAACGACCCGUCUUGAAACACGGACCAAGGAGUCUAACAAAUACGCGAGUAUUCGGGUG